rnacentral:rRNA from 1 species
UACGAAGGGGGCUAGCGUUGUUCGGAAUCACUGGGCGUAAAGCGCACGCAGGCGGAUUGAUAAGUCAGGGGUGAAAUCCCGGAGCUCAACUUCGGAAUUGCCUUUGAUACUGUCUGUCUUGAGUCCGGGAGAGGUGAGUGGAAUUCCUAGUGUAGAGGUGAAAUUCGUAGAUAUCAGGAAGAACACCCGUGGCGAAGGCGGCUUUCUGGGACGGUACUGACGCUGAGACGCGAAAGCGUGGGGAGCAAACAGG